AAUAGAUACCCUGGUAGUCCACGCCGUAAACGAUGAGUGCUAAGUGUUAGAGGGUUUCCGCCCUUUAGUGCUGCAGCAAACGCAUUAAGCACUCCGCCUGGGGAGUACGGCCGCAAGGCUGAAACUCAAAGGAAUUGACGGGGGCCCGCACAAGCGGUGGAGCAUGUGGUUUAAUUCGAAGCAACGCGAAGAACCUUACCAGGUCUUGACAUCCUCUGACACUCCUAGAGAUAGGACGUUCCCCUUCGGGGGACAGAGUGACAGGUGGUGCAUGGUUGUCGUCAGCUCGUGUCGUGAGAUGUUGGGUUAAGUCCCGCAACGAGCGCAACCCUUGAUCUUAGUUGCCAGCAUUCAGUUGGGCACUCUAAGGUGACUGCCGGUGACAAACCGGAGGAAGGUGGGGAUGACGUCAAAUCAUCAUGCCCCUUAUGACCUGGGCUACACACGUGCUACAAUGGAUGGUACAAAGGGCAGCAAAACCGCGAGGUCGAGCAAAUCCCAUAAAACCAUUCUCAGUUCGGAUUGUAGG
rnacentral:rRNA from 1 species